CGGCGUGUAGCUCAACAGUGGAGCGCCUCGUUCACACCGAGGAGGAUGCAGGUGCGAGUCCUGCCACGCUGACCA
rnacentral:tRNA from 1 species